rnacentral:rRNA from 1 species
UAAGGUUAAGUUAAUAAGGGCGCACGGUGGAUGCCUUGGCACUAGAAGCCGAAGAAGGACGUGACAAACGACGAAAUGCUUUGGGGAGCUGUAAGUAAGCGACGAUCCAGAGAUGUCCGAAUGGGGGAACCCACUAGCUGAUGGCUAGUACUCCUAUCUGUUAAGGAUAGGUAGAGGAAGACGCAGUGAACUGAAACAUCUAAGUAGCUGCAGGAAGAGAAAGCAAAAGCGAUUGCCUGAGUAGCGGCGAGCGAAACGGCAGGAGGGCAAACCGAAGAGUUUACUUUUCGGGGUUGUAGGACUGCAAUGUGGACUUAAAGAUUAUAGAAGAAUGACAUGGGAAGGUCAGCCAAAGAGAGUAAGAGCCUCGUAUUCGAAAUAGUCUUUAUACCUAGCAGUAUCCUGAGUACGGCGGGACACGAGAAAUCCCGUCGGAAUCUGGGAGGACCAUCUCCCAACCCUAAAUACUCUCUAGUGACCGAUAGUGAACCAGUACCGUGAGGGAAAGGUGAAAAGCACCCCGGGAGGGGAGUGAAAUAGAACCUGAAACCGUGUGCCUACAACAAGUUCGAGCCCGUUAAUGGGUGAGAGCGUGCCUUUUGUAGAAUGAACCGGCGAGUUACGAUAUGAUGCGAGGUUAAGUUGAAGAGACGGAGCCGUAGGGAAACCGAGUCUGAAUAGGGCGGAUUAGUAUUAUGUCGUAGACCCGAAACCAUGUGACCUACCCAUGAGCAGGUUGAAGGUGAGGUAAAACUCACUGGAGGACCGAACCAGGGCACGUUGAAAAGUGCUUGGAUGACUUGUGGGUAGCGGAGAAAUUCCAAACGAACUUGGAGAUAGCUGGUUCUCUCCGAAAUAGCUUUAGGGCUAGCGUCGACAUUAAGAUUCUUGGAGGUAGAGCACUGUUUGGGUGAGGGGUCCAUCCCGGAUUACCAAUCUCAGAUAAACUCCGAAUGCCAAUGAAUUAUGGUCGGCAGUCAGACUGCGAGUGCUAAGAUCCGUAGUCGAAAGGGAAACAGCCCAGACCACCAGCUAAGGUCCCAAAAUAAUUGUUAAGUGGAAAAGGAUGUGGGGUUGCACAGACAACUAGGAUGUUAGCUUAGAAGCAGCUAUUCAUUCAAAGAGUGCGUAAUAGCUCACUAGUCGAGUGACCCUGCGCCGAAAAUGUACCGGGGCUAAAACAAUUUACCGAAGCUGUGGAUACCUUUAUAGGUAUGGUAGGAGAGCGUUCUAUGUGUGGAGAAGGUGUACCGUGAGGAGCGCUGGAACGCAUAGAAGUGAGAAUGCCGGUAUGAGUAGCGAAAGACAGGUGAGAAUCCUGUCCACCGUAAGACUAAGGUUUCCAGGGGAAGGCUCGUCCGCCCUGGGUUAGUCGGGACCUAAGGAGAGACCGAAAGGUGUAUCCGAUGGACAACAGGUUGAUAUUCCUGUACUAGAGUAUGUAGUGAAGGAGGGACGCAGUAGGCUAACUAAAGCGUGCGACUGGAAGUGCACGUCUAAGCAGUGAGGUGUGAAUUGAGUUAAAUGCUUAAUUCUGUAACAUUGAGCUGUGAUGGGGAGCGAAGUUUAGUAGCGAAGUUAGUGACGUCACACUGCCAAGAAAAGCUUCUAGCGUUAAUCAUACUCUACCCGUACCGCAAACCGACACAGGUAGUCGAGGCGAGUAGCCUCAGGUGAGCGAGAGAACUCUCGUUAAGGAACUCGGCAAAAUGACCCCGUAACUUCGGGAGAAGGGGUGCUGGCUUUCAGUCAGCCGCAGUGAAUAGGCCCAAGCAACUGUUUAUCAAAAACACAGCUCUCUGCUAAAUCGUAAGAUGAUGUAUAGGGGGUGACGCCUGCCCGGUGCUGGAAGGUUAAGAGGAGUGCUUAGCGUAAGCGAAGGUAUGAAUUGAAGCCCCAGUAAACGGCGGCCGUAACUAUAACGGUCCUAAGGUAGCGAAAUUCCUUGUCGGGUAAGUUCCGACCCGCACGAAAGGCGUAAUGAUUUGGGCACUGUCUCAACGAGAGACUCGGUGAAAUUUUAGUACCUGUGAAGAUGCAGGUUACCCGCGACAGGACGGAAAGACCCCAUGGAGCUUUACUGCAGUUUGAUAUUGAGUGUCUGUGCCACAUGUACAGGAUAGGUAGGAGCCAUUGAGAUCGGGACGCCAGUUUCGAUGGAGGCGUUGUUGGGAUACUACCCUUGUGUUAUGGCCACUCUAACCCGG